AGGUUCCCAAUGUUAGAAGUUCCAAGAGGACAUCGGCUGACACGGCAGAAUCCGCCUUCCCGAUUACACUGUGGUUGGGCAUUCCCUAUGAAAAGAAAAAGAGGAGACAGUUUAGCCAUCUCUGCUAACUCCAUCAGCUUUUGUAACCGUUCAUCCAAGAUGGGAAUGGAAGCAUCCUUCCAGGAAUUGCAAGUUUCCUGGGACUACAGCAAGUUUUCUCUGACCACACAGAUCCAUCUCUGCUGAUCUCCUGCAGCAGCUCAAAUAAAUCAGCCAUUAACCCAGGUUUGAAGUCUGACUCAAAGAUGAAUUAGCUGUAUUGCCAUGGAUCCUUGCUGAGUUACAGUGGCCAGUUGCAUUGUGUGUUUGGAUGAAGACCUUGAGUGAGCUGAGAAUUUGGUAAACCAAUGUUAAAGUGAAGCAAAUCAACAAAAAUAAGCUACAAUAACAAAAACCCCAACAAAGUUCUUUCAAGAAUUGUGAAUCAAAAGAAAAAUCAAUGGCAUAUUUUUCAAAUCUUUGGAGGCUCAUAUUGUCAAUAGUCUAUACUGUUCAAAGCUAUUUCUGUAAAGUAAAACAAAAAGAUG